UACGUAGGGUGCAAGCGUUAAUCGGAAUUACUGGGCGUAAAGCGUGCGCAGGCGGUUGUGCAAGACAGAUGUGAAAUCCCCGGGCUCAACCUGGGAACUGCAUUUGUGACUGCACGGCUAGAGUGUGUCAGAGGGGGGUAGAAUUCCACGUGUAGCAGUGAAAUGCGUAGAUAUGUGGAGGAAUACCGAUGGCGAAGGCAGCCCCCUGGGAUAACACUGACGCUCA
rnacentral:rRNA from 1 species